rnacentral:rRNA from 1 species
GAUGAACGCUAGCGGCAGGCCUAAUACAUGCAAGUCGAACGGUGUCUUUGGACAUAGUGGCGCACGGGUGCGUAACACGUAUGCAACCUACCUUACAUUGGGGGAUAGCCUUUCGAAAGGGAGAUUAAUACCGCAUAAGACAGUAGCUGGGCAUCCAGCAGCUGUUAAAGAUUUAUCGAUGUAAGCUGGGCAUGCGUCCAAUUAGCUAGUUGGUGAGGUAACGGCUCACCAAGGCAAUGAUUGGUAGGGGAACUGAGAGGUCAAUCCCCCACACUGGCACUGAGAUACGGGCCAGACUCCUACGGGAGGCAGCAGUAGGGAAUAUUGGGCAAUGGACGCAAGUCUGACCCAGCCAUGCCGCGUGCAGGAUGAAGGCGUUAUGCGUUGUAAACUGCUUUUAUACAGGAAGAAGCGACUCUUGCGAGAGGCAUUGACGGUACUGUAUGAAUAAGCACCGGCUAACUCCGUGCCAGCAGCCGCCGUAAAAC